rnacentral:rRNA from 1 species
UACGUAGGGGGGCUAGCGUUGUCCGGAUUUAUUGGGCGUAAAGAGCGUGUAGGCGGCCAGGUAGGUCUGCUGUGAAAACUCGAGGCUCAACCUCGAGACGUCGGCGGAAACCGUCUGGCUAGAGUCCGGAAGAGGAGAGUGGAAUUCCUGGUGUAGCGGUGAAAUGCGCAGAUAUCAGGAAGAACACCUAUGGCGAAGGCAGCUCUCUGGGACGGUACUGACGCUGAGACGCGAAAGCGUGGGGAGCGAACAGG